ACUCGCGGCGCCGCCGCUAGGUGGCUACCGUUUCUCGCAUACAAAAUCCUGGUGAAAACGGUAUAUAAAGAGGAUGAGACCGGCAGCCUGGGGAUUCGAUAUCAAAUAAAACAUUCAAAACGGUCGAUGAUAUUAGCGCUCUUCAAUUAUCUCCGGAUCCCUUUUACGGUCACGAAACUUUACUCAGGGCUGCUGGGCGGUCUUUAAGAAUCGGAGCGUCUCAUUUGCACACAGUUUAUUAGUACAAUUCGUUUCGGGUACAGCAAGAAUAAAUGAUAAAAAUAUAUCAAACUUAUUUAUCUAAAAAAAGAAGAUUUAUAUGUUUAUUUUAUUAAUUAUAUGCUCAUGUUGAAUAUAAUAGUUACAUUAUAUAUAAAUCAUUGGAAAUACUUGGCUUCUCAUUUCUAUGUGUUAUUUACAUUGUUACAUGAGAUUGAAAAUGUAGACUGGAGGAUACGGUU